UACGGGGGGGGGCAAGCGUUUGUUCGGAAUUACUGGGCGUAAAGGGCGCGUAGGCGGCGUGACAAGUCACUUGUGAAAUCUCCGGGCUUAACUCGGAACGGUCAAGUGAUACUGUCGUGCUAGAGUACAGAAGGGGCAACUGGAAUUCUCGGUGUAGCGGUGAAAUGCGUAGAUAUCAGGAGGAACACCGGUGGCGAAGGCGGCCUUCUGGACAGUGACUGACGCUGAGACGCGAAAGCGUGGGGAGCAAACAGG
rnacentral:rRNA from 1 species